AUUGAACGCUAGCGGCAGGCCUAACACAUGCAAGUCGAACGAGUGGCGGACGGGUGAGUAAUGUCUGGGAAACUGCCUGAUGGAGGGGGAUAACUACUGGAAACGGUAGCUAAUACCGCAUACCAUCGGAUGUGCCCAGAUGGGCUUAGCUUGUAGGUGGGGGAACGGCUCACCUCGGCGACGAUCCCUAGCUGGUCUGAGAGGAUGACCAGCCACACUGGAACGGAGACAAGGUCCAUACUCCUACGGGAGGCAGCGGUGGGGAAUAUUGUACAAUGGGCGCAAGCCUGAUGCAGCCAUGCCGCGUGUAUGAAGAAGGCCGUCGGGUUGUAAAGUACUUUCAGCGGGGAGGCGUUACCCGCAGAAGAAGCACCGGCUAACUCCGUGCCAGCAGCGGCGGUAAUUC
rnacentral:rRNA from 1 species